rnacentral:misc_RNA from 1 species
CCGAGUUAGGGUUGCCUUUUCAGGUGCCCGACCUCCCAACCCUUUGUCUAUGAUACCCAUUGUUGCUUCGGCGCGCCCGAGGGGUCGUACCCUCGCCUGGUUCACGCCGGGAGCGCGGCCGCCGAUGGCCCCAAAUUAAACUAUUGAACCCAAAACCUGUCGUCUGAAAACGUUAUGAUUUAUAAUCAAAAAC